UACGUAGGUGGCGAGCGUUGUCCGGAUUUACUGGGCGUAAAGAGCGCGCAGGCGGUCGUAUAAGUCGAAUGUGAAAGCCCCCGGCUCAACUGGGGAGGGUCAUUCGAUACUGUUCGACUCGAAGGCAGGAGAGGGAAGUGGAAUUCCGGGUGUAGUGGUGAAAUGCGUAGAUAUCCGGAGGAACACCAGUGGCGAAGGCGACUUCCUGGACCGACACUGACGCUGAGGCGCGAAAGCUAGGGGAGCAAACGGG
rnacentral:rRNA from 1 species